GUCUACGGCCAUGCCACCCUGAACAAGCCCGAUCCCAUCUGAUCUCGGAAGCUAAGCAGGGUCAGACCUGGUUAGUACUUGAAUGGAAGACCACCUAGGAAGACCAGGUGCUGUAGGCA
rnacentral:rRNA from 1 species